rnacentral:rRNA from 1 species
AUGUGUCAGUUCCUUCAUGCACCUACCACUGUUCACAUGACUGCUGCAAAACAUAUAGUAAGAUAUGUGAAAAAUACAUUGAGCAUUGGCCUGAAUUUCAGUAAUAAUUUGCCAUUUAUUAGUGCCUUCACUGACUCAGACUGGGCUGGGUGUCUAGAUGACAGACGCUCAACUGGUGGUUUUGUAGUAUUCUUUGGACCUAAUUUGAUAUCUUGGAGUGCAAGGAAGCAAGCCACAGUUUCAAGAUCCAGUACAGAGGCGGAAUACAAAGCAUUGGCAAAUGCAACAACAGAGAUCAUAUGGGUGCAGUCAAUUUUAAAGGAAUUAGGUAUGAAAAGCACUAGAGCUCCAUGUUUAUGGUGUGAUAAUCUAGGUGCUACCUAUUUGUCAGCAAAUUCAGUCUUUCAUGCUAGAACUAAACACAUUGACAUAGAUUUUCACUUUGUUCGAGAAAUAGUUGCAAAUAAACUUUUGGAUAUUCGGUUUAUCCACUCUCAAGACCAAGUUGCUGAUGGCUUCACCAAAGCUCUACCUACAAGAAGUUUUGAAGACUUCAAUCAU